rnacentral:tRNA from 1 species
GCCUCUUUAGCUCAGUGGUAGAGCACUGGUCUCGUAAACCAGGGGUCGCGAGUUCAAUCCUCGCAGGAGGCA